UCAAAAGGCUGAAACACUCCGUCAACUUACCCCAGACACGCUCCCCCAAGAUGGGGUCCACAUCGUCUGGUCAAUCGUCAAAUGGAAAGUGGGCACGCGAUGACAGCUUCCUUGACACCAUC